rnacentral:rRNA from 1 species
GUCUACGGCCAUACCACCCUGAACGCGCCCGAUCUCGUCUGAUCUCGGAAGCUAAGCAGGGUCGGGCCUGGUUAGUACUUGGAUGGGAGAAGAGAGAAAUUCACCCAAAGAAGGAU